rnacentral:rRNA from 1 species
GACGAACGCUGGCGGCGUGCCUAAUACAUGCAAGUAGAACGCAGUUGCGAACGGGUGAGUAACGCGUAGGUAACUUCCUCAUAGCGGGGGAUAACUAUUUGAAACGAUAGCUAAUACCGCAUACUGUGAGAUGGACCUGCGUUGUAUUAGCUAGUUGGGACGGUAAAGGCUCACCAAGGCGACGAUACAUAGCCGACCUGAGAGGGGGAUCGGGCAAAAUGGGAACUAGACCAGGGCCAGGACUCUAAGGGAGGGAGCAGUAGGGAAUCUUCGGCAAUGGACGGAAGGCUGAACGAGCAACGCCGCGGUAGUGAAGAAGGUUUUCGGAUCGGAAAGCUCUGUUGUUAGAGAAGCGGUAACUAAACAGAAAGGGAUGGCUAACUACGUGCCAGCAGCCGCGGUAAUAC